UCUUACCGUUUUGAAAUCUGAACUUUUAACAUUAAAUUCGAACGGAUGGGGAAAGUGUCUCGCCGUGUACGCCUGCCAAACAAAAACAUAUCAACUAGAGACGCAUGGCUUGCGUUGGGCAUGUAAAGUUGAGUGCAUUGCAAUCUGUGGCAAAUGUCUCUACGUGAAGGCGGAUGGUUGGAUGAGCUGAAGUGUCAACUGCAGAUAUGGUACGUGUGACACACAUUUGUUCUGAAUAUUGCCCAUGUAUGUGGGUGUGCAGAGAACUCAUUACACUUGGAUUGCACAAAGACGCAUUAAUUAAUUAAUUGACUAGGUUUAGUUGUCCACCUGCGUCAGGUAUUAUAGAAAUGAAUGGGUCACACAGUUACGCAAUUGUCACAAACUUUUCCCAACUAAUUGGGUACGGUGAUACUAUUGAGAUAUCAUGAUUAGUUCUAGGUGGUAUUAGUACUAGGUGGUACCAAGGAGAUCAAAAGCAGAGCAAACCAUCUCUAGACAGAACUUAUGCAUAGGUGAAUCAUUAGCCUUAGUGACUAGAUCUAUGGCAGCACUAUAUCUACGCUCUAUCUUAUGUGGAUAGCCCAAACUAACUUAGACCUCUCUUCCCAUGCGGUCUUAUUAAUUUACGGUGACGGAACAAGUUGAAGCCUCACAAUAAAAGUACUAGCAAGCUCGUAUUUGCCUGCAUACAAGUUGGAUUCAAUUUCUUUGUGUCUGGGAAUCCAAGCCAUUUUUGUAAGAGAUCAUGUGUACUAGUAGUGUAUAAUUUGUUGUACAGUGUGCUAAUUUGUUCAGUUAAUGCUGAUGGUAGUAGAUUCAGAAAAGGAACACUGAUCACAAAAUGUCAGGACUGUUUGGGUAAUAUCCAUCUGAAGACCUAAAAUACUGUAGAUGGCGUGCAUCUAUGCCUACAGGAUUUGGUGGAUCGCAUAGUUGUACUGAAAUGAUCAUGACAAGAUCACAUCUCGGUCAUUGAUUUUUCUAGCCAUUGAUUUCUUACCGUCAAAGAUAUUCCAAGGCCCAAAACAUCAUUGAGAAGAGGCGAACCGAAGCAAGAAGACACACCCAUUGCAGGUUUGCCUUGUCGUGCCACUGCAGUAUCAGCUACCCAAUCACCAACCGAGUUACCAAUGGCCAACACAGUUACACCCAGUACAGCUGCAUCAUAAGAGAAUCUGCUUGCAAUUUCUCUCGAGGAAGAGAAUGACAAGACUCACCAAGACUGACAUCAAAUACAGUACCAAAUGUUUGCAGCACGGCCACCAGUUCGUUGGCCUGAAUAUUCAUCCAUGCCACUGAUGUUAUAAAUGCGACAACACCAGAGAAAAAGAGCACAACUGAACCAGGAUCUAGAGACCCCCUAGUGCAGAAACGCCACUUAUACAAGAACCAACCAAAUAGAAUCAGCGAUAUUGGUGCUCCUACAUACAAAUAUGUUGACAGCAACACAAAUGGUCUACAAGCGUUUUGUUAGCAUCUUGCCUGCUAUAAUAAUGACUGCAUACACAGGCAGUGUGGUGGUGGCAUACAUGGUAAACCCGUCCCAUCCCUCUGCUGCAAUAAGCAGAAGAAGACUGGCUGGAAUCGGACACAGAAUUGCAAAUAUCCACCUCAUCAUAUCCCAUUCUUCAUCCUAUACUCAUGACACACACAAUAGAAUAACUAUAUUUUGAACAAGUGUUGGAUCAGCGUACACAUGAUGGGACGGUCAGCCAUCGAAGAAUACUAACCGGAUACUCCACAAUAAACUGAACUUUGACUGCCCAAUUACUAUUACGUGGCUGUAACAAAGUAACUAUCAAAUUGAUCAGGAUAUGACAAUAGCCUUACUAUGACACAAACCCAUGAGAGGCCAGCAAGAGAGAAAUUAUUCUGCAAACACGAACUAUGAACACACGAUACACUUAGACAGAUUUUCAACAUACUUCAGGAUCUGAUGGCUCAUUGAGUGACACUGAUCAGAAAUUUUGGACACUCUGUGAAUAUACAUGGAUAAUCAUUGAUUAGAUAGUAUUACCUAUUGGAGUUGUGUUUGAUGAUUUGUUUGACUCGCUGAAUAGUGGUUGUUGCACAGUGCUUUUGCGUUUUGCUCUCUAAGUGUGCAAUGUCAGUCCAAAGUUAUCAACUAGAAAUUUUUUGUGUAACUAACUAAAAUAUAUCCGAGAGCAACUACAACUCCAAUGUAUGCAAUGUAUGCAGCAAGGAAGAUGACGGACUCAUAGAGAUAGAUCUGAAAUUAGGAAAUGUUUGUUUAUACUUGGUGGUUAAUAUUAACAUGUUUGUCUUA